UGCUUCAGCAGCCAGCAGAAACUCAGGUGGAAGACUUUUGUCCUCUUGAAACAGAAAGAUGAAGAAUCUCUGUGUUGCUUUCCUCGCAGCUUUCCUGCUUCUCUGUCUUGUCUCUCAGAUGGAUGCAUUGUCGGGGUCCACAAACAACACAGCUACCUCCUUCUCCCGCAGCGGCACCUCCUUCACCCUGCUGAUGCUCCCUCUAGCUUUAGUAGCUUUUCUCCUCCAUGGCUGCUCAGGAUGAUGGUCCAGACAGAUGAGUGAGGACAGGGGGAAAAAACUUUUCCAUUUGGAUUUCACCCAGCUCCAUUCCAGCAAGGAGGGAGCCUUGUCCACACCUUGUUUCCUCCAUGUGCUCAUGGACAAAUCUUCAUGAAAACUUGUGUAUUUAAUCUGUAAGGAGUAAAUGUGAUUUGGGUAGUCUAUAUAAAUUUGGAUAUUUAAAAAUGUGUCUAAUUUGGGGAAAGUUAAGGUUGUAAGCUUGUUGUUCUGUUUCAUGAGUUGAAUAAAACUGAAUCUGUUCA